AGAGCGAACGCUGGCGGCAGGCCUAAUACAUGCAAGUCGAACGGAUCCUUCGGGAUUAGUGGCGGACGGGUGAGUAACACGUGGGAACGUGCCCUUUGGUUCGGAACAACUCAGGGAAACUUGAGCUAAUACCGGAUAAGCCCUUUUGGGGAAAGAUUUAUCGCCAUUGGAGCGGCCCGCGUCUGAUUAGCUAGUUGGUGGGGUAAAGGCCCACCAAGGCUACGAUCAGUAGCUGGUCUGAGAGGAUGAUCAGCCACACUGGGACUGAGACACGGCCCAGACUCCUACGGGAGGCAGCAGUAGGGAAUCUUGCGCAAUGGGCGAAAGCCUGACGCAGCCAUGCCGCGUGAAUGAUGAAGGUCUUAGGAUUGUAAAAUUCUUUCACCGGGGACGAUAAUGACGGUACCCGGAGAAGAAGCCCCGGCUAACUUCGUGCCAGCAGCCGC
rnacentral:rRNA from 1 species